CACGUAGGGUGCGAGCGUUGUCCGGAAUUAUUGGGCGUAAAGAGCUCGUAGGCGGCUUGUCACGUCGGGUGUGAAAGCCCGGGGCUUAACCCCGGGUCUGCAUUCGAUACGGGCUAGCUAGAGUGUGGUAGGGGAGAUCGGAAUUCCUGGUGUAGCGGUGAAAUGCGCAGAUAUCAGGAAGAACACCCGUGGCGAAGGCGGCUCUCUGGAACGCAACUGACGCUGAGACGCGAAAGCGUGGGGAGCAAACAGG
rnacentral:rRNA from 1 species